AGAAGCUUAGGUUACACAUAAACCAAGGGCCUUCAAAGCCCUAAACAGAGACACCACCCCCUCUAGCUUCUG
rnacentral:tRNA from 1 species